GGUGCGUAACACGUGGGUAAUCUGCCUGAAAGACCGGGAUAACUCCGAGAAAUCGGAGCUAAUACCGGAUGUGAUCCUGGGCUGGCAUCAGCCUGGGCUUGAAGUUGGGGACCGCAAGGCCUGACACUUUCAGAUGAGCCCGCGGCCUAUCAGCUAGUUGGCGGGGUAACGGCCCACCAAGGCUAAGACGGGUAGCUGGUCUGAGAGGACGACCAGCCACACUGGAACUGAGACACGGUCCAGACACCUACGGGUGGCAGCAGUCGAGAAUUUUUCACAAUGGGGGAAACCCUGAUGGAGCGACGCCGCGUGGGGGAUGAAUGGCUUCGGCCCGUAAACCCCUGUCAUUUGCGAACAAACCUGGCGGUUGAACAGACUGCCGGCUGAUAGUAGCAGAAGAGGAAGGGACGGCUAACUCUGUGCCAGCAGCCGCGGUAAUACAGAGGUCCCGAGCGUUGUUCGGAUUCACUGGGCGUAAAGGGUGCGUAGGCGGUGGGGUAAGUUUGAGGUGAAAUCUCCGGGCUCAACCCGGAAAAUGCCUUGAAUACUAUCCUGCUAGAGGAUCGGAGGGGAGACUGGAAUUCUCGGUGUAGCAGUGAAAUGCGUAGAUAUCGAGAGGAACACCAGUGGCGAAGGCGAGUCUCUGGACGAUUCCUGACGCUGAGGCACGAAAGCCAGGGGAGCAAACGGGAUUAGAUACCCCGGUAGUCCUGGCCUUAAACGGUGCGCACUUGCUGUGGGCGGAUUCGACCCCGUCUGU
rnacentral:rRNA from 1 species